rnacentral:lncRNA from 1 species
GAUGACCAUUUUGACCCCUGCUAAAGACCUCAAAUUGAAAAACUUAAAGAAUAAAAGUUGUAGGUCUAUUCGUCUUCGUUCUGGAUCAUCUGGACUUCCCUCAAUCGGAGUCUGUAUGAAAAACGUUAUGGUUAUUUUACUAUAGGAGGUCAAAACAGUCACACCAGACAAACCUAGAGUGUAGCUAUGCCCAAUUAAGCCUUGGACAUAACGCAGCUGCGCCCUAGAGGGCAGCUGAACCCCAAAAGACUUAGGGCAGAGCGCAGCUACGCCCGUUAGCAUAAUCGGGACUCUAAUCUUCA